rnacentral:rRNA from 1 species
CCUACGGGUGGCAGCAGUGGGGAAUCUUGCUCAAUGGGCGUAAGCCUGAACCAGCCAAGCCGCGUGAGGGAUUAAAGUUCUACGGAUUGUAAACCUCUUUUAUAAGGGAAUAAAUUGUGGAACGAGUCCUAUUUUGUAUGUACCUUAUUAAUAAGGAUCGGCUAACUCCGUUCCAGCAGCCGUGGUAAUACAGAGGGUCCGAGCGUUCUCCGGAUUUAUUGGGUUUAAAGGGUGCGUAGGCGGCGUUUUAAGUCAGGGGGGAAAGUCUGUGGCUCAACCAGAGGAUUGCAGUUGAAACUGGGGGGCUUGAGGAUGGUAGAGGCAAGCGGAAUGCGUGGUGUAGCGGUGAAAUGCUUAGAUAUCACGAAGAACACCGGUGGCGAAGGCGGCCUGCCAAGCCAUGACUGACGCUGAUGCACGAAAGCGUGGGGAGCAAACAGGAUUAGAUACCCGUGUAGUC